rnacentral:rRNA from 1 species
UACGUAGGGUGCAAGCGUUAAUCGGAAUUACUGGGCGUAAAGCGUGCGCAGGCGGCUUUGCAAGACAGAUGUGAAAUCCCCGGGCUCAACCUGGGAACUGCAUUUGUGACUGCAAGGCUGGAGUACGGUAGAGGGGGAUGGAAUUCCGCGUGUAGCAGUGAAAUGCGUAGAUAUGCGGAGGAACACCGAUGGCGAAGGCAAUCCCCUGGACCUGUACUGACGCUCAUGCACGAAAGGCGUGGGGAGCAAACGAGGAUUACGAAACCCCGAGUAGAUCC